AUGGGCCACGCAGAGGGACAGCCUGGCCACCCGAGGAGGACAGGACGGGGCUGCAACGGGCGAGGUGCCCCACGCCCGCCCCAGCCCAGGCCCCCGAGCCAGGGCGGCAGGGACGCAGGCCCCGGCUCCGGGGUGGGCAGCAGCGCCCUGCCGGGUGCCCGGGGUCUGCGCGGGGGCCCAGCGCCGGCCGCCCCGGGAGAGCGGGGCCCGGACAGGGGCGGGAGGGCCAGGGCGGCGGCCGUGCCCCGCCGGGAAGCCCCGCUCAGGGGGCUCGGGGCAGGGCCGGGCUGGGCCAGGGCGGGGCCCGGGACUCGGGCAGGACGGCCAUGCCCCGGGGGUCCCGCCGGCCCGGACCUCGGGGGCCGGGAGGGGCCGGGGUGGGCAGCCGGGCACGAGGGCGCCUCCGGCGGGGCCCGGCCUCACGCGCCUUCUCCCGCAGCCAAAACCACGGCGCCCAAGGUCUUCCCGCUGGCCCCCGCCUGCGGGCUCAGGAGCGGCUCCACGGUGGCGCUGGGCUGCCUGGUGUCCAACUACUUCCCUGAGCCGGCCACCGUGUCCUGGAAGGGGGGCGCCCUGUCCGGAACUGCCCGCACCUACCCGGCCGUGCUGCGCGCCUCGGGCCUCUACAGCCUCAGCAGCAUGGUGGCCGUGCCCGCCGGCAGCUGGCCCAGCCAGAAGUACACCUGCAGCGUCUCCCACCCGGCCAGCAGCACCACGGUGGACAAGGCCAUCGGGGGGGGGCACGCCGGCUCCGGGGGCUGACGCCGCUGUGUCCCCACAGCUCUGGACGUGGGGCCUUCCGUCUUCAUCUUCCCCCCGACACCCGAGGACACGCUCAAGAUCUCCCACACGCCCAAGGUCACGUGCAUGGUGGUGGACGUGAGCCUUGACAACCCCAAGGUCACGUUCAACUGGUUCGUGGACGGCACGGAGAAGACGGAGUUCGAGACGGAGUCCGAGGAGGAGCACAACAGCACCCUGCGCGUGGUCAGCCGGCUGCCCGUCGCGCACAAGGACUGGCUGGGCGGGAAGGAGUUCAGGUGCAAGGUCAACAACAAGGACCUGCCGAGCCCCGUCGAGAAGACCAUCACCAAGACCCAAGGCCCCCCCCAGCCGCCGCAGGUGUACGCGCUGCCCCCGCCCAAGGAGGAGCUGACCCAGAGCAAGGUGACGCUGACCUGCCUGCUGAGGGGCUUCUUCCCGGGCGACACGUACGUGGAGUGGCAGCAGAAGGGGCAGCCGGUGCCCGAGGACCGCUUCCACACCACGCCCCCCCAGGAGGACGGCGAGGGCCACUUCUUCCAGUACAGCAUGUUGCGGGUGAACAGAGACUCGUGGAAUGCGGGCGACACCUUCUCCUGCACCGUCAUGCACGAGGCCCUGCACAACCACUACACGGAGAAGACCAUCUCCAAGUCUGCCGAGCUGCUGCUGACCGACAGCUGUGAGGACGCCCAGGACGAAGAGCUGGACGGGCUGUGGACCACCCUGUCCAUCUUCAUCACCCUGUUCCUGCUCAGUGUGAGCUACAGUGCAGCUGUCACCCUCUUCAAGGUGAAGUGGAUCUUCUCAUCGGUGGUGGAGCUCAAGCAGACCAUCGUCCCCGACUACAGGAACAUGAUCGGGCAGGGGGCCUAG